rnacentral:piRNA from 1 species
CAGACUGGGUUAUUGUUUGUGUGCUUUCCCC